GCGAAAGUGGCGAAAUUUGGUAUACGCGUUAUCUUGAGGGGGUAAUGAUUCUAUCAUAUGGGUUCAAGUCCCAUCUUUCGCA
rnacentral:tRNA from 1 species